rnacentral:lncRNA from 1 species
GUAUUCUAAUUUUUUUUUUUUUUUUUCAGACAGAGUCUCACCCUGUCGUCCAGCCUGGAGCUGAAGUACAAUGGUGUGAUCUCUGCUCACUGCAACCUCCACCUCCCAGGGACAAGCGAUUCUCCUGCCUCAGCCUUCAGAGUAGCUGGGAUUAACAGAUGUGCACCACCAAGACCAGCUAAUUUUUUGUAUCUUUAGUAGAGACAGGGUUUCACCAUGUUUGCCAGGCUGGUCUCAAACUCCUGACCUCAUGAUCUGCCCACCUUGGCCUCCCAAAGUGCUGGGAUUACAGACAUGAGCCACCGCACCUGACUAAUUUCUUAAACUCCCUGCUUAAAGUGAUAAUGAUCGCUAAAAUUUUCACAAGUAGAGGGUAAAGAGAGAAAAAACGAAGUUGCCACAGCCCUGAUUGCCAGCCCUUUAGAACUGAUAAGAACAGAAAUCAUCACAACCUUGGUUCUCGGUAGAUUUGUCAAUCUGCAUGCCAUUGGGAUCAUGUUAGAAGACCUAGGCACUUGGGAAUGCCAGCAAUCAGGUACCAUCUUUAAUACGUAUAUGGAGUAAAUUUUUCUGGAUUACUGAGGAUUUUUUGAUCCCCCUAAAUUUUGUGAACAUGGUGAGUACAUCAUUGACCUCACACUACUUUCAGCCUUGCUAUCUGCC